rnacentral:rRNA from 1 species
CCUACGGGAGGCAGCAGUGAGGAAUAUUGGUCAAUGGGCGUGAGCCUGAACCAGCCAAGUCGCGUGAGGGAAGACGGUCCUAUGGAUUGUAAACCUCUUUUGUCGGGGAGCAAAAGACGCUACGUGUGGCGUUCUGAGAGUACCCGAAGAAAAAGCCUUGGCUAACCUCGUGCCAGGCGCCGCCGUAAUACGGAGGAUGUGAGCGUUAUUCGGAUUUAUUGGGUUUAAAGGGUUCGCAGGCGGAAGAUCAAGGCAGCGGUAAAAUUGAGAGGCUCAACCUCUUCGAGCCGUUGAAACUGGUGUUCUUGAGUGGGUGAGAAGUAUGCGGAAUGCGUGGUGUAGCGGUGAAAUGCAUAGAUAUCACGCAGAACUCUGAUUGCGAAGGCAGCAUACCGGCGCUCAACUGACGCUCAUGCACGAAAGUGUGGGUAUCGAACAGGAUUAGAUACCCCUGUAGUC